rnacentral:rRNA from 1 species
UGGGGAAUAUUGCACAAUGGGCGCAAGCCUGAUGCAGCAACGCCGCGUGAACGAUGAAGGUCUUCGGAUCGUAAAGUUCUGUUGCAGGGGAAGAUAAUGACGGUACCCUGUGAGGAAGCCCCGGCUAACUACGUGCCAGCAGCCGCGGUAAUACGUAGGGGGCUAGCGUUAUCCGGAUUUACUGGGCGUAAAGGGUGCGUAGGUGGUCCUUCAAGUCGGUGGUUAAAGGCUACGGCUCAACCGUAGUAAGCCGCCGAAACUGGAGGACUUGAGUGCAGGAGAGGAAAGUGGAAUUCCCAGUGUAGCAGUGAAAUGCGUAGAUAUUGGGAGGAACACCAGUAGCGAAGGCGGCUUUCUGGACUGCAACUGACACUGAGGAACGAAAGCGUGGGUAGCAAACAGG